AGGAGUUGGAUAUAUCCUCUGUAUUAGUCAUGAGCAUGUUUUUGGCUAUAAUGUGAAAUAAACCAACCAGAGUGUCAUCUGUCUUUCCCUUUGAGCCAGAGUGUACCAGCUGUGCAGCAGUUUUCUGGUUUGUUCACAGACCUGCAACAACCUGCUAGUGUGCCAACAGCUACCAAAGCUCCCUGAGGUGAAGCACCAAAGCAGGGGCAUUUGAUGAUGAGGAUAUCGCCCACGUUAAGGGCACGGUGGACCCAGUGAGGGAUGCAGAAGAUCAUUCAUGAUUAGUUGUAGCUGAAGGGUGAGGAGAUGAUCUGCCCUGUUAUUGACAAGCUGGAGAAAACGUCCAUUAGAGGCGGUGACAAGAAACUCAAACCAGAAUAUGACAUAAUGUGCAAAUCAAGAGCCGGGGUAGUGGAUAAAAGAAUCAUGCCUGCUACUAUCAUGACUGGAAUGACAAGGAGAUCAACAUGUCGGACAAACGCUCGCUUCUGACAUCAAAAGCGAUGAUUCACUUUAAGUUCUCAGAGAAAGAUGAUAUCAGGAAGAAGAAGAAAUGGUAAGUGCUUGGAAGCAGGGAUGGAGCAGACACGCUACACUCUUUAAUUAUGACCAAACACUGUGUGCAUCUA